rnacentral:lncRNA from 1 species
GGGACUAGAGGUCGACCGAUUAAUCGGAAUGGCCGAUUAAUUAGGGCCGAUUUCAACUUUUCAUAACAAUCGGUAAUUGGUAUUUUUGGCCAACGAUUUGACGAUUUAUUUUUGUUUACAUUUUUUAUUAUAUAUAUAUUUUUUUUUACACCUUUAUUUAACUAGACAGGUCAGAUUAAGAACACAUUCUUAUUUUCAAUGACAGCCUAGGAACGGGGGUUAACUGGGGGGAUUCGGGGAUUCAUUUUUGCAACCUUCCGGUUACUAGUCCAACGCUCUAACCAUCUGUCUUACAUUGCACUCCAUGAGGAGCCUGCAUGGCAGGCUGACUACCUGUUACGCGAGUGCAGCAAGAAGCCAAGUCUUCCCGGUUUUGACCCCUGCCUGACUCAGGACUACUUUUCCGCCUGCCUGAUCAUCCUGCCUGCCCUGACCUUGAUUCUGCCUGCCCUUCGGUACCUUUUGGACUCCAAACUGGUUUUGACCCUUUGCCUGUCUGCGACCAUUCUCUUGCUUUACCCUAUUGGAUGAAUAAAUAUUGUAAGACUCCAACCAUCUGCCUCCUGUGUCGGCUUCUGGGUCUCGCCUUGUGUCAUGAUACCCUAGGCAUCUUUCUUUUGGUGUUUUUCAGAGUCAGUAGAAAGGCCUCUUUAGUGUCCUAAGUUUUCAUAACUGUGACCUUAAUUGCCUACCGUCUGUAAGCUGUUAGUGUCUUAACGACCGUUCCACAGGUGCAUGUUCAUUAAUUGUUUAUGGUUCAUUGAACAAGCAUGGGAAACAGUGUUUAAACCCUUUACAAUGAAGAUCUGUGAAGUUAUUGGGAUUUUUACGAAUUAUCUUUGAAAGACAGUGUCUUGAAAAAGGGACAUUUCUUUUCUUGCUGAGUUUAAAUUACACCAAAUACCAGUUUGAUAACAGUUGAAUAGUUAGUAAGCCGGUAAUAAGUGUUUGUUACAUAGAAUACAACAGGUGCAUAAACUAAUACACAAAGAC